CCUAAAUGUGGAGCAUUAAACCUGCCAAAAGUUUAUUACAUUUAAUUUGAGAAAGUUGAGGGCCUAUGGAGCCAAUAUUAAAUAAAUGAAUGCAGUGAUAAAAAUUAAAAUUAAAACCUCAAAUCAUUUUAUUUCCACAAAAUGGAGAACAAAAUAUGUUCCAAAUUUUAAAAUCAAAUAAAAUUAUUACAUGUACAUGUUCGCAGUGACAGUACAAAUUAAAAAUUAAAAUGCAAAUGCUGAUUUUAAAUUCUAUUUACUGCAAUCUUGAGACAGGACUGCCAAUAUUAAAAUGAAAAAGCAAACGUGAAAAAGAAAUUGCAAAAUCAUUUUUUUUCCGAAGCAUUUUCUCAGUGUUAGCGCAAUAAAAGUGACAAUUAAUAUUCAAAGUUCAGUUUUAAUUGUAUUUUUAUUUUAUCUUUUAUUUUCCAUUUUCAUUUUCAAAGCCAACAUGUAAAUUCUAUGUUAAUGAGUGGGUGGUGCUCAAAGAGAGAAUCCUUUAAUACAGUGGUUCUCACACAAGAGGGUGCAGAGAGGUUGUCAGCACUGUCACUGUGAAAAUGAAAAUACAAAUGUAAUCAUUUAAUUUUAUUUGUAAUUUUGGCACAUAUUUUACAGACACUUUGUGGAAAUAGAGGUUUUAAUUUAAAUUUUUAUCAAUGCAUUCAUUUAUUUAAUAUUGGCAGGUUUUGUGCUCCAUACCUUUAAACAUUUCAUUAAUUAUCUAGAAUGUUUAUUGUGUACACAAAUAAUUCCCCUGUAAUCAUGAUUCAUACUCUGCAUCUCACAUAAUCAGUCUAUCAGAGUAUUACUUUGGUCUUGUAAUCUACCUCAGUCGACAUUACUCAAGAAAUGUUUCUCACAGUCUGAGCAAACUCACUUCAAACAACAAUCACCAUGUGCUCAUGUGUCCCGUGUUUCUUUCUCGUUAUUCUUUGCAUUUCUUUGAAGAUGAUCUCUUUCAUGCUUUUUGUACUAGGUCUUUUUUUUUAUUAUUUGUGAUCUUUUAUCAUAUUGUUCAUCCAAAUCAUCAUUUAAACCAAACAAGUUUUGUGCUAUAUGUGCAUAUAUGCAUCAUUGCAUAUUUUGUAGUAUGAAUAUGGAUCAGUUUUGAUGACAACUGUCUAUAGUGAUCACUCAACAGUAAUUUACUCAGGGUAAAAAAAAAGAUCUUCAGGCCUCAGCUAAACACCAAAAUUCACUUUCAACUUGACCUUAAAUGCUUGAAGAAUUCAUUGAAAACUUUUUGUCCAUCUGUUCAACAACAUUUUUGUUAUAAUUGUAACAUUUAAAAUGAAAUUGACCAAAAAAGCAAAACAUGCUAUUGUUUAUGUUAUAGAUAGCACUUAAUAAACAUUGUAAUGGCAAAAAGUGAGUCUCCAUCAAACCUUUUCUUUCCAUGGAUUCUCACAAUCCAGAUAAUUGGAAACGUCAUUAACUAUGCUACUCUUAAUGUCUUGCGUUUCAUUUUUCUCAUGGCCUGCAUGAUUUCAGCUUCUGUUAUUUGUGUUGAAUAUACCAAAGAAUUUGUAGAGAUUGUUGAAGUUCAAAAUUGUAUUAAAGAAUGUACUUUUCACUGCUGUUGUUUUUGGUGAGCUUGUGAUACUUUUUCAGAAAAACCUACUUGAAGCUUAUUAAGAUUGACAUGUCACGUAUAAAUAUAGCAAUGGAUAGUUUAAACAGUCGAAACUCAGUGGGUGUCAAGGGGUCACGCACAUGGUACUCAUACUAACAGCAGGACAAAGUCAACAGCACUGUUCCAUUUAUUCCAGUUAAAAGUUCGAAACAAACGUAUAAAUCUCAAAACACCCCAAAACAUUUGCUGACCUAGGACAAAAUUGUAAAAGAAAAUAGUAUUUCACUGCAAAGUCUAAAUAAAAUGUAAAGGAAGCUGUGAGACAAAAUAGUGAAUGUUUUCACAAGCACACUUCAUUUUGAACUCUCUGCCCUUACCUGCAAACAUCUAUCGCAAACAGUUAUUCAUUGUUUGCAGAAAUCUAUUUUCUUACAUGUAAAGCACAUAUUAUGUCAAAGACAAAUACAGGGAGAAACUCCACCAGAUAAUAAUACUGAGUAACAGAGGAUUGGACAGUUUUAGUUUUCAUCAUAAUUCUAUAGUAAUAAUACAUCAUGUUGUUGAGAACAUCAGAUCUACUCUGACUCAUCCAGACACAACAUCAUACAGUCUCAGUGCUUGAGAUGGAAAAAUGACAAUGGUUCAACUAAACUUAAUCCAAACUUUUAUUAUGCCCACAAUUUCAUAUGAAUCAAACCAUGGUGUGGUUGAGAUUUUCUACCUACAAGGGCACCAAAAAAAUAUUUGGACACCCAAGUCACACUUCAAAAUGAAUGAAUGCCAUCGCAUUAGGUAAGAAAAUAUAAAAACAAGUGACAUCUGUGUCUUUAUACUAUGAAGGGCGUGUUUUGAGUGUAGAGGGAGUGUCUUUUACUACAAAGGGAGUGUUUUGAGUGUAGAGGGUGUGCUUUAUACUAUGAAGGGUGUGUUCUGAGUGUAGAGGGAGUGUCUUUUACUACAAAGGGAGUGUUUUGAGUGUUGAGGGUGUGCUUUAUACUAUGAAGGGUGUGUUUUGAGUGUAGAGGGAGUGUCUUUUACUACAAAGGGAGUGUUUUGAGUGUUGAGGGUGUGUCUUAUACUAUGAAGGGUGUGUUUUGAGUGUUGAGGGUGUGUCUUAUACUAUGAAGGGUGUGUUUUGAGUGUAGAGGGUGUGUCUUAUACUAUGAAGGGUGUGUUUUGAGUGUAGAGGGUGUGUCUUUUACUACAAAGGGAGUGUUUUGAGUGUAGAGGGUGUGCUUUAUACUAUGAAGGGUGUGUUCUGAGUGUAGAGGGAGUGUCUUUUACUACAAAGGGAGUGUUUUGAGUGUUGAGGGUGUGCUUUAUACUAUGAAGGGUGUGUUUUGAGUGUAGAGGGUGUGUCUUAUACUAUGAAGGGUGUGUUUUGAGUGUUGAGGGUGUGUCUUAUACUAUGAAGGGUGUGUUUUGAGUGUAGAGGGUGUGUCUUAUACUAUGAAGGGUGUGUUUUGAGUGUAGAGGGUGUGUCUUAUACUAUGAAGGGUGUGUUUUGAGUGUUGAGGGUGUGCUUUAUACUAUGAAGGGCGUGUUUUGAGUGUUGAGGGUGUGCUUUAUACUAUGAAGGGCGUGUUUUGAGUGUAGAGGGUGUGUCUUAUACUAUGAAGGGUGUGUUUUGAGUGUAGAGGGUGUGUCUUAUACUAUGAAGGGUGUGUUUUGAGUGUUGAGGGUGUGCUUUAUACUAUGAAGGGCGUGUUUUGAGUGUUGAGGGUGUGCUUUAUACUAUGAAGGGUGUGUUUUGAGUGUAGAGGGAGUGUCUUUUACUACAAAGGGAGUGUUUUGAGUGUAGAGGGUGUGCUUUAUACUAUGAAGGGUGUGUUCUGAGUGUAGAGAGUGUGUCUUAUACUAUGAAGGGUGUAUUUUGAGAGUAGAGGGUGUGUCUUAUACUAUGAAGGGCAUGUUUUGAGUGUAGAGGGAGUGUCUUUUACUACAAAGGGUGUGUUUUGAGUGUAGAGGGUGUGCUUUAUACUAUGAAGGGUGUGUUUUGAGUGCAGAGGGUGUGCUUUAUACUAUGAAGGGUGUGUUUUGAGUGUAGAGGGAGUGUCUUUUACUACAAAGGGAGUGUUUUGAGUGUAGAGGGUGUGCUUUAUACUAUUAAAGGGUGUGUUCUGAGUGUAGAGGGAGUGUCUUUUACUACAAAGGGAGUGUUUUGAGUGUUGAGGGUGUGCUUUAUACUAUGAAGGGUGUGUUUUGAGUGUAGAGGGUGUGUCUUGUACUAUGAAGGGCGUGUUUUGAGUGUAGAGGGAGUGUCUUUUACUACAAAGGGAGUGUUUUGAGUGUAGAGGGUGUGCUUUAUACUAUGAAGGGUGUGUUCUGAGUGUAGAGAGUGUGUCUUAUACUAUGAAGGGCGUGUUUUGAGUGAAGAGGGUGUGUCUUAUACUAUGAAGGGUGUAUUUCGAGAGUAGAGGGUGUGUCUUAUACUAUGAAGGGUGUGUUUUGAGUGUAGAGAGUGUGUCUUAUACUAUGAAGGGCAUGUUUUGAGUGUAGAGGGAGUGUCUUUUACUACAAAGGGAGUGUUUUGAGUGUAGAGGGUGUGCUUUAUACUAUGAAGGGUGUGUUCUGAGUGUAGAGAGUGUGUCUUAUACUAUGAAGGGUGUGUUUUGAGUGUAGAGAGUGUGUCUUAUACUAUGAAGGGCAUGUUUUGAGUGUAGAGGGAGUGUCUUUUACUACAAAGGGUGUGUUUUGAGUGUAGAGGGUGUGCUUUAUACUAUGAAGGGUGUGUUUUGAGUGUAGAGGGUGUGCUUUAUACUAUGAAGGGUGUGUUUUGAGUGUUGAGGGUGUGCUUUAUACUAUGAAGGGUGUGUUUUGAGUGUUGAGGGUGUGCUUUAUACUAUGAAGGGUGUGUUUUGAGUGUAGAGGGAGUGUCUUUUACUACAAAGGGAGUGUUUUGAGUGUAGAGGGUGUGCUUUAUACUAUGAAGGGUGUGUUCUGAGUGUAGAGAGUGUGUCUUAUACUAUGAAGGGCGUGUUUUGAGUGUAGAGGGAGUGUCUUUUACUACAAAGGGAGUGUUUUGAGUGUAGAGGGUGUGCUUUAUACUAUGAAGGGUGUGUUCUGAGUGUAGAGAGUGUGUCUUAUACUAUGAAGGGCGUGUUUUGAGUGAAGAGGGUGUGUCUUAUACUAUGAAGGGUGUAUUUCGAGAGUAGAGGGUGUGUCUUAUACUAUGAAGGGUGUGUUUUGAGUGUAGAGAGUGUGUCUUAUACUAUGAAGGGCAUGUUUUGAGUGUAGAGGGAGUGUCUUUUACUACAAAGGGCGUGUUUUGAGUGUAGAGGGUGUGCUUUAUACUAUGAAGGGUGUGUUUUGAGUGUAGAGUGUGUCUUAUACUAUGAAGGUCGUGUUUUGAGUGUUGAGGGUGUGCUUUAUACUAUGAAGGGUGUGUUUUGAGUGUAGAGGGUGUGCUUUAUACUAUGAAGGGCGUGUUUUGAGUGUUGAGGGUGUGCUUUAUACUAUGAAGGGUGUGUUUUGAGUGUAGAGGGUGUGCUUUAUACUAUGAAGGGUGUGUUUUGAGUGUAGAGGGUGUGCUUUAUACUAUGAAGGGUGUGUUUUGAGUGUAGAGGGAGUGUCUUUUACUACAAAGGGAGUGUUUUGAGUGUUGAGGGUGUGCUUUAUACUAUGAAGGGCGUGUUUUGAGAGUAGAGAGUGUGUCUUAUACUAUGAAGGGCAUGUUUUGAGUGUAGAGGGUGUGUCUUAUACUAUGAAGGCUGUGUUUUGAGUGUAGAGGGUGUGUCUUAUACUAUGAAGGGUGUAUUUCGAGAGUAGAGGGUGUGUCUUAUACUAUGAAGGGUGUGUUUCGAGAGUAGAGGGUGUGUCUUAUACUAUGGUGUAUUUCGAGAGUAGAGGGUGUGUCUUAUACUAUGAAGGGUGUAUUUCGAGAGUAGAGGGUGUGUCUUAUACUAUGAAGGGUGUGUUUCGAGUGUAGAAGGUGCUUAGAAUAUGAAGGAUGUGUUUUGAGAGUAGAGGGUGUGUCUUAGGCAACAAAGGGCAUGUUUUGAGUGUAGAGGGUGUUUUAUACUAUGAAGGGCGUUUUUUGAGAGUGGAGGGCUUCUCUAAGACUAUAAAGGGUGUGUUUUGAGUGUAGAUGGUGUAUCUUAUACUAUAAAGGGCGUGUUUUGAAUGUAGAGGGCAUGUCUUAAGACUAUAAAUUGUAUGAUUAGAGUGGGGGUGUGUUUUAGACAACAAGGGGCAUGUUUUGAGUGUAGAGGGUGUGUCUUAUCCUAUGAAGGGUGUUUUGAGAGUAGAAUGUGUGUCUAAGACAACAAAGGAUGUCUUUUGAGUGUUGAGGGCGUGUCUAGGAAUAUGAAGGGUGUAUUUUGAGAGUAGAGCAUGUGUCUUAUACUAUGGAGUGUUUUGAGUGUAGAGGGUGUGUCUUAUACUAUGAAGGGUGUGUUUUGAGAGUAGAAGGUGUGUCUUAGACUAAGAAGGGCGUGUUUUGAGUGCAGAGGGCAUGUCUUAGACUAUGAUGGGCAUUUUUUGAGCAUAGCGGGCAUGUCUUACAAUAAGGGCGUAUCUAAGUUUAUGAAGGGUGAGUUUUGAGUGUAGAGGGGGACCCACUUUAUAUCAGAAUGGCUUAACUACUAUGUACUAAACCAUUUGAUACAAUGUACUUAUGUAUGCUCAUGUUGUUACAUUGUAAUUACAUUUAAAGUACUUACAUUUAUUUACAUUUGUAGUUACACUGUUAACUUUACCCCUAACCCAACCCUUACCCCAAAACCUAAAUCUAAUCCCUAAGCCUAACCCUACCCAUACUCCAAAACCUACCCGUACCUCAACAGCAGUAGCAAUAAAUAUGGGAAUUUUGCAGAACAACAUGUAGUUACACAGUUAAUACAUAGUCUUAAGUUAAGGCCACCUAAUAUAAAGUAUGACCGUAGAGGGUGUGUCUUAGACUAUGAAGGGCAUUUUUUGAGUGUAGAGGAUGUCUUAGACAACAAUGGGCGUGUUUUCAAUGUAGAGGGUGUGUCUUAGAAUAUAAAGGGUAUGUUUAGAGUGGGGGUGUGUCUUAGACUAUGACGGGCAUAUUUUGAGUGUAGAGGGUGUGUUUUUAGAGUAGAAGGUGUGUCUUAGAAUAAGAAGGACGUGUUUUGAAUGUAGAGGGUGUGUCUUAGAUUAAGAAGGGUGUGUUUUGAGAGUAGAAGGCAUGUCUAAGACUAUGAAGGAUGUGUUUUGAGUAUAGAGGGUGCUUUCAGAGUAGGUGUAUCUUAGACUAAGGGUGUGUUUUGAGUGUAUUGGGUGGGUCUUAGACUAUGAAGGGCAUGUUUAG